rnacentral:rRNA from 1 species
UAAAUUGGCUUGAUUGUGGGGAAAACUCCACAGUUAAGCGCGCUUGAGCCAGAGGCGUCUUGGGAUGGGUGACCACCUGGGAAGUCCUGGUUACCGGGUGAA